GCCGGGUGUGGUGGUGCGCGCCUGUAGUCCCAGCUACUCAGGAGGCUGAGGUGGGACAAUCACUUGAGCCUGGGAGGUCUAGGCUGCAGUGAGCCGAGAUCAUGCCACUGCAUUCCAGCCUAAGCAACACAACGAGACCCUGUCUCAC
rfam:Pan troglodytes isolate Yerkes chimp pedigree #C0471 (Clint) chromosome 3, whole genome shotgun sequence.